rnacentral:lncRNA from 1 species
GUGUGGAUACCUGUAGAGGCCGGGCAUUUGUGCGGCUUCAGGAACCUGUCAAAUUUUUGAUCAUCGACUGUGGAGGUCUUCCACCCAUGAUAAGGUAUGAGAUCUGAUCUCAUAAAUUAAUUUUAAAUUUUAUAUAUCUUAAAUCUGUAUUAGAGAAGGUUUUAGAUCUGAUUUAAUGUAUGAUAAAAAUAAUUAAUCUAUUUUAUUCCGCUGUGAUUUCAAAAUAG